GACGAACGCUGGCGGCGUGCUUAACACAUGCAAGUCGAACGGAAAUGCCCUGCUUUUUGGGGGGGCGGUAAGUGCCGAAGGGGGGGGUACAAGUGAGUAACCUUGCCUCGACUUUCUGAUAACUUGAUGAAACUGGGGCUAAUUCCGGGGAGUAGUUGCUGCUGCAUGGUGUGUGGUGGGAAGUGUCGGCGGUUGGGGAUGGAGUUGCGGCUGAUGAGCUUGUUGGUGGGGUGGUGGCUUAUCAAGGCUUGGACGGGUAGCCGGCCUGAGAGGGUGGAGGGACAGAUUGGGACGGAGAUACGGCCAGGACUCCUACGGGAGGCAGCAGUGGGGAAUAUUGCACAAAGCGCGGGAGCGUGAUGGAGCAACGCCGGGUGCGGGAUGACGGCCUUCGGGUUGUAAGCCGCUUUCGCUUGUGACGAAGCGUGAGUGGCGGUAAUGGGUAAGGAAGCACGGGCAACUUCCGU
rnacentral:rRNA from 1 species